rnacentral:rRNA from 1 species
GACGAACGCUGGCGGCGUGCUUAACACAUGCAAGUCGAACGGAAAGGCCCUGCUUUUGUGGGGUGCUCGAGUGGCGAACGGGUGAGUAACACGUGAGUAACCUGCCCUUGACUUUGGGAUAACUUCAGGAAACUGGGGCUAAUACCGGAUAGGAGCUCCUGCUGCAUGGUGGGGGUUGGAAAGUUUCGGCGGUUGGGGAUGGACUCGCGGCUUAUCAGCUUGUUGGUGGGGUAGUGGCUUACCAAGGGUUUGACGGGUAGCCGGCCUGAGAGGGUGACCGGCCACAAUGGGACUGAGAUACGGCCCAGUCUCCUACGGGAGGCAGCAGUGGGGAGCAUGGCGCAGUGGGCGGAAGCCUGAUGCAGCAACGCCGCGUGCGGGAUGACGGCCUUCGGGUUGUAAACCGCUUUCGCCUGUGACGAAGCGUGAGUGACGGUAAUGGGUAAAGAAGCACCGGCUAACUACGUG